rnacentral:rRNA from 1 species
CAGUCGCCGCGGGAAUACAGAGGGUGCGAGCGUUAAUCGGAUUUACUGGGCGUAAAGCGUGCGUAGGCGGCUUUUUAAGUCGGAUGUGAAAUCCCUGAGCUUAACUUAGGAAUUGCAUUCGAUACUGGGAAGCUAGAGUAUGGGAGAGGAUGGUAGAAUUCCAGGUGUAGCGGUGAAAUGCGUAGAGAUCUGGAGGAAUACCGAUGGCGAAGGCAGCCAUCUGGCCUAACACUGACGCUGAGGUACGAAAGCAUGGGGAGCAAACAGGAUUAGAUACCCGCGUAGUCCCUGUCUCUUAUAC